UUACAGAGGGAGAAGUCAAGUCUAGUUCAGUGUCUUGAGGAUGAGGAGUGUGGGAGUCUAAAGCUGAAGCAGAUGAUGUCACUGCUGGAGCAUGAACUAAACCAAAGUAAUCAGUUAAUGUCAAUGCAUCAUACCAUCAGCGAGAAGAAGGAUGUGAACUACCGGACUGAUGAUGAAGUAUAUAACAAUUUGGUGGUGUGGAGACAAAGCUGCAUCGCACAAUUGAUGAGGUUGACAGAGAAACUGAUAGUAUCAAGAAUGAGAUAAAUCACCACACUAAGUAUGGUCGUCAGGGAACCAAGCAGGCUGUGGACUGU